rnacentral:rRNA from 1 species
UCGAACGCUGGAGAUCUAGCUUGCUAGAUUGAAGGAGUGGCGAACGGGUGAGUAAUACAUAAGCAACCUACCCACGAAGACUGGGAUAAUCUCUGGAAACGGGGACUAAUACCGGAUAGGUAAUCGGAAGGCAUCUUCUGGUUAUUAAGGUUAAAAACACUGGUGGAUGGGCUUAUGGCGCAUUAGUUAGUUGGUGAGGUAACGGCCCACCAAGACGAUGAUGCGUAGCCGGCCUGAGAGGGUGAACGGCCACAUUGGGACUGAGACACGGCCCAGACUCC